UAGGGAAUCUUCCACAAUGGGCGAAAGCCUGAUGGAGCAACGCCGCGUGAGUGAAGAAGGGUUUCGGCUCGUAAAACUCUGUUGUUAAAGAAGAACAUAUCUGAGAGUAACUGUUCAGGUAUUGACGGUAUUUAACCAGAAAGCCACGGCUAACUACGUGCAAG
rnacentral:rRNA from 1 species